UGAUCAUGGCUCAGGACGAACGCUGGCGGCGUGCCUAAUACAUGCAAGUCGAACGAACUCUGGUAUUGAUUGGUGCUUGCAUCAUGAUUUACAUUUGAGUGAGUGGCGAACUGGUGAGUAACACGUGGGAAACCUGCCCAGAAGCGGGGGAUAACACCUGGAAACAGAUGCUAAUACCGCAUAACAACUUGGACCGCAUGGUCCGAGCUUGAAAGAUGGCUUCGGCUAUCACUUUUGGAUGGUCCCGCGGCGUAUUAGCUAGAUGGUGGGGUAACGGCUCACCAUGGCAAUGAUACGUAGCCGACCUGAGAGGGUAAUCGGCCACAUUGGGACUGAGACACGGCCCAAACUCCUACGGGAGGCAGCAGUAGGGAAUCUUCCACAAUGGACGAAAGUCUGAUGGAGCAACGCCGCGUGAGUGAAGAAGGGUUUCGGCUCGUAAAACUCUGUUGUUAAAGAAGAACAUAUCUGAGAGUAACUGUUCAGGUAUUGACGGUAUUUAACCAGAAAGCCACGGCUAACUACGUGCCAGCAGCCGCGGUAAUACGUAGGUGGCAAGCGUUGUCCGGAUUUAUUGGGCGUAAAGCGAGCGCAGGCGGUUUUUUAAGUCUGAUGUGAAAGCCUUCGGCUCAACCGAAGAAGUGCAUCGGAAACUGGGAAACUUGAGUGCAGAAGAGGACAGUGGAACUCCAUGUGUAGCGGUGAAAUGCGUAGAUAUAUGGAAGAACACCAGUGGCGAAGGCGGCUGUCUGGUCUGUAACUGACGCUGAGGCUCGAAAGUAUGGGUAGCAAACAGGAUUAGAUACCCUGGUAGUCCAUACCGUAAACGAUGAAUGCUAAGUGUUGGAGGGUUUCCGCCCUUCAGUGCUGCAGCUAACGCAUUAAGCAUUCCGCCUGGGGAGUACGGCCGCAAGGCUGAAACUCAAAGGAAUUGACGGGGGCCCGCACAAGCGGUGGAGCAUGUGGUUUAAUUCGAAGCUACGCGAAGAACCUUACCAGGUCUUGACAUACUAUGCAAAUCUAAGAGAUUAGACGUUCCCUUCGGGGACAUGGAUACAGGUGGUGCAUGGUUGUCGUCAGCUCGUGUCGUGAGAUGUUGGGUUAAGUCCCGCAACGAGCGCAACCCUUAUUAUCAGUUGCCAGCAUUAAGUUGGGCACUCUGGUGAGACUGCCGGUGACAAACCGGAGGAAGGUGGGGAUGACGUCAAAUCAUCAUGCCCCUUAUGACCUGGGCUACACACGUGCUACAAUGGAUGGUACAACGAGUUGCGAACUCGCGAGAGUAAGCUAAUCUCUUAAAGCCAUUCUCAGUUCGGAUUGUAGGCUGCAACUCGCCUACAUGAAGUCGGAAUCGCUAGUAAUCGCGGAUCAGCAUGCCGCGGUGAAUACGUUCCCGGGCCUUGUACACACCGCCCGUCACACCAUGAGAGUUUGUAACACCCAAAGUCGGUGGGGUAACCUUUUAGGAACCAGCCGCCUAAGGUGGGACAGAUGAUUAGGGUGAAGUCGUAACAAGGUAGCCGUAGGAGAACCUGCGGUUGGAUCACCUCCUUA
rnacentral:rRNA from 2 species